rnacentral:tRNA from 1 species
GCCGAUAUAGCUCAAUUGGUAGAGCAACGGAUUUGUAAUCCGUAGGUUCGGGGUUCGAUUCCCCGUGUCGGCUCCA